GAACAUGGGUGAUAAGGUCCGUGUUCGAAAGGGAAACAGCCCAGACCACCAGCUAAGGUCCCAAAAUAUAUGUUAAGUGGAAAAGGAUGUGGCGUUGCCCAGACAACUAGGAUGUUGGCUUAGAAGCAGCCAUCAUUUAAAGAGUGCGUAAUAGCUCACUAGUCGAGUGACACUGCGCCGAAAAUGUACCGGGGCUAAACAUAUUACCGAAGCUGUGGAUUGUCCUUUGGACAAUGGUAGGAGAGCGUUCUAAGGGCGUUGAAGCAUGAUCGUAAGGACAUGUGGAGCGCUUAGAAGUGAGAAUGCCGGUGUGAGUAGCGAAAGACGGGUGAGAAUCCCGUCCACCGAUUGACUAAGGUUUCCAGAGGAAGGCUCGUCCGCUCUGGGUUAGUCGGGUCCUAAGCUGAGGCCGACAGGCGUAGGCGAUGGAUAACAGGUUGAUAUUCCUGUACCACCUAUAAUCGUUUUAAUCGAUGGGGGGACGCAGUAGGAUAGGCGAAGCGUGCGAUUGGAUUGCACGUCUAAGCAGUAAGGCUGAGUAUUAGGCAAAUCCGGUACUCAUUAAGGCUGAGCUGUGAUGGGGAGAAGACAUUGUGUCUUCGAGUCGUUGAUUUCACACUGCCGAGAAAAGCCUCUAGAUAGAAAAUAGGUGCCCGUACCGCAAACCGACACAGGUAGUCAAGAUGAGAAUUCUAAGGUGAGCGAGCGAACUCUCGUUAAGGAACUCGGCAAAAUGACCCCGUAACUUCGGGAGAAGGGGUGCUCUUUAGGGUUAACGCCCAGAAGAGCCGCAGUGAAUAGGCCCAAGCGACUGUUUAUCAAAAACACAGGUCUCUGCUAAACCGUAAGGUGAUGUAUAGGGGCUGACGCCUGCCCGGUGCUGGAAGGUUAAGAGGAGUGGUUAGCUUCUGCGAAGCUACGAAUCGAAGCCCCAGUAAACGGCGGCCGUAACUAUAACGGUCCUAAGGUAGCGAAAUUCCUUGUCGGGUAAGUUCCGACCCGCACGAAAGGCGUAACGAUUUGGGCACUGUCUCAACGAGAGACUCGGUGAAAUCAUAGUACCUGUGAAGAUGCAGGUUACCCGCGACAGGACGGAAAGACCCCGUGGAGCUUUACUGUAGCCUGAUAUUGAAAUUCGGCACAGCUUGUACAGGAUAGGUAGGAGCCUUUGAAACGUGAGCGCUAGCUUACGUGGAGGCGCUGGUGGGAUACUACCCUAGCUGUGUUGGCUUUCUAACCCGCACCACUUAUCGUGGUGGGAGACAGUGUCAGGCGGGCAGUUUGACUGGGGCGGUCGCCUCCUAAAAGGUAACGGAGGCGCUCAAAGGUUCCCUCAGAAUGGUUGGAAAUCAUUCAUAGAGUGUAAAGGCAUAAGGGAGCUUGACUGCGAGACCUACAAGUCGAGCAGGGUCGAAAGACGGACUUAGUGAUCCGGUGGUUCCGCAUGGAAGGGCCAUCGCUCAACGGAUAAAAGCUACCCCGGGGAUAACAGGCUUAUCUCCCCCAAGAGUUCACAUCGACGGGGAGGUUUGGCACCUCGAUGUCGGCUCAUCGCAUCCUGGGGCUGUAGUCGGUCCCAAGGGUUGGGCUGUUCGCCCAUUAAAGCGGUACGCGAGCUGGGUUCAGAACGUCGUGAGACAGUUCGGUCCCUAUCCGUCGUGGGCGUAGGAAAUUUGAGAGGAGCUGUCCUUAGUACGAGAGGACCGGGAUGGACAUACCUCUGGUGUACCAGUUGUCGUGCCAACGGCAUAGCUGGGUAGCUAUGUGUGGACGGGAUAAGUGCUGAAAGCAUCUAAGCAUGAAGCCCCCCUCAAGAUGAGAUUUCCCAACUUCGGUUAUAAGAUCCCUCAAAGAUGAUGAGGUUAAUAGGUUCGAGGUGGAAGCAUGGUGACAUGUGGAGCUGACGAAUACUAA
rnacentral:rRNA from 1 species